rnacentral:lncRNA from 1 species
GAGAGGAGGAGUUACAGCUGAGAAGAUAAUUUCUGUGAAUAACUCAAGGGCCCCAUUCCAAUACUCUACAAAUACAUCCUUCCUUCCCACGGGCCCCAUUCCAAUACUCUACAAAUACAUCCUUCCUUCCCACGGGCCCCAUUCCAAUACUCUACAAAUACAUCCUUCCUUCCCACGGGCCCCAUUCCAAUACUCUACAAAUACAUCCUUCCUUCCCACGGGCCCCAUUCCAAUACUCUACAAAUACAUCCUUCCUUCCCACGGGUCCCAUUCCAAUACUCUACAAAUACAUCCUUCCUUCCCACGGGCCCCAUUCCAAUACUUUACAAAUACAUCCUUCCUUCCCACGGGCCCCAUUCCAAUACUCUACAAAUGCAUCCUUCCUUCCCACGGGCCCCAUUCCAAUACUCUACAAAUACAGCCUUCCUUCUAUUCAUGCACAUCUCUCCAGGUUUCCCACGUUGAGCCAACAUUAUAACAUUACAUUAUAACACAUUGUCUUUAAAACACGUCAAAACCUAAGUUCUACUCUACAGGUGACAGUGAAGGGCAGUAAGGACCUUGUUUACACAAAGCUCUUGGAAUGGGGGGAGGAGGGGUGAGGGAGGAGGGACAGAGAUAGAGGAAAGGGGUGAGGAGGGACAGAGGGUGAGGAGGGGUGAGGUAGGAGGGACAGAGGGUGAGGAGGGGUGAGGGAGGAGGGACAGAGAUGGAGGGGUGAGGUAGGAGGGACAGAGGGUGAGGAGGGGUGAAGUAGGAGGGACAGAGGGUGAGGAGAGGUGAGGGAGGAGGGACAGAGAUAGAGGAAAGGGGUGAGGAGGGGUGAGGUAGGAGGGACAGAGGGUGAGGAGGGUUGAGGUAGAAGGGACAGAGGGUGAGGAGGGGUGAGGGAGGAGGGACAGAGGGUGAGGAGGGGUGAGGUAGGAGGGACAGAGGGUGAGGAGGGAAAGAUGAGAAGAACAGGAAGUGACAGACUGGUAUGAAGAAGUAAAAGAUGAGAAGGACAGGAAGUGACAGACUGGUAUGAAGAAGUAAAAGAUGAGAAGGACAGGAAGUGACAGACUGGUAUUAAGGAGUAAAAGAUGAGAAGGACAGGAAGUGACAGACUGGUAUGAAGAAGUAAAAGAGAAGAAGGAAGCACCAAUUAUAUAACAUAUACCAUCUAAGAGUUAAAUAUUACUCCAGGUUAAAGUUAACCUCCUAACCACAAAAUCUAAGAUCAGCUGUCCUCGGGUUUGAAAUAUUCCUCCUGUAAACUUUCCCAUGAAAUCUCCACUUUCACAGAAAUCCUAGAAAAUCC